AGUGAACGCUGGCGGUAGGCCUAACACAUGCCAGUCGAACGGCAGCACAGUAAGAGCUUGCUCUUACGGGUGGCGAGUGGCGGACGGGUGAGGAAUACAUCGGAAUCUACUUUUUCGUGGGGGAUAACGUAGGGAAACUUACGCUAAUACCGCAUACGACCUACGGGUGAAAGCAGGGGAUCUUCGGACCUUGCUCGAUUGAGUGAGCCGAUGUCGGAUUAGCUAGUUGGCGGGGUAAAGGCCCACCAAGGCGACGAUCCGUAGCUGGUCUGAGAGGAUGAUCAGCCACACUGGAACUGAGACACGGUCCAGACUCCUACGGGAGGCAGCAGUGGGGAAUAUUGGACAAUGGGCGCAAGCCUGAUCCAGCCAUACCGCGUGGGUGAAGAAGGCCUUCGGGUUGUAAAGCCCUUUUGUUGGGAAAGAAAAGCAGCAGGUUAAUACCCCGCUGUUCUGACGGUACCCAAAGAAUAAGCACCGGCUAACUUCGUG
rnacentral:rRNA from 1 species